GGCAGCUUCCUUAAAGCCGCAGCCGCGGCGGGAGCUUGGGGUGCCGGGCGGUGGCUACAUCAGGCGGCCUCCGCACGCUGCCCCCACCCCCAUCGCUCGGCCGCCCCAAACUUGCUUACGUCCACCCUGCUCUCCUUCUGACCGACCCCAGGAUAUCUGGAGAGAUGUGAAAAGUGUGCUGACGCGGAAGAAGUCGGUUUUUCCGCGAGCAAAGUGUCGUCCCCUCACGCUCUCCACCUGCAGCUCCAGGUGAGCUGCAGCCCAGACCCUGGCGCCGCCCAACAGCGUCCGCGCGCGGGGAGGACUCUGGGUGGGCUUCACCCGACCCUCGAGGUUCCUCUCCCAGCCCCUUUCCACUGUCUCCAGAGUUACCUCUCAGCAGAGCAGCAGCAGCCUUCGCUGCCAGCGAGCAAGACGAUCACGUUCACUCGAUUUGAAUUUAGUUGUUUUAACCGUGCUGGAAAAACCCUUUAAACACAGCUUUCCUCCCAUCCCUUAGACCCCUAACACCAAAAAAAAAAAAAAAAAAAAAAAAAAAAAAAAGAGAGAGAGAGAAAGAUAAAUGAAAGAAGUGGCAGGGUCAAGAGCUGCUCCUCUACUUCCUUAUAAUUUUGUCACUGUACUUACUACUUUAGUAUUGGAUUUUUCCACUAGUUCAAUUUGAAAGCAAGCUUACCAUCGAGGAUAUUCACGUUAUAAUGGGUGGAGGGGGUGGGUCACAUAAGUGGGAGAAACAGACAGGAGGGGGGAAGGAACCAAACUGUUUUCUAAGGAUCGGUUGUCUGCAUGAAGAAAUUUCGGUUUCCCUCCAACCGCCCCCUCCUCGAUUCUCCUCCCGCCCACCCAAAUGCUGCAGUUACUAAGCAAAAGGAUGGGGUUCCUAACUUUGAUUUCUAAGGACUUUUAGGCUUCUCAUGUAAGGCCCCGUUUUAGGCUCCCCGCUGGCCCGGAGUCAGCAUCAGUGACGUAUACACCUAAAUCUGGUCCCCCGGCCCUCGGCGACCCGCAGCCCGGCGGCGGCAGCUGUGCGGCCUCCCGCCUCACCCUCGCUUCGCGCCCGCCAAAGCCCGAGGCGGGGGACCGGGGGACACCCUGUGCCCAAAGGCCCCUCCUCUCCUUAACAGUUAGUUAAGCUCCGGGAUUCCGGACCCCUAACCCAGGGCUGAGACUUGAACUCUCAGCCGCUCCAGUCAGGAACUCCCUGGAGAUAGGGGCGACAGCGGCAGCGCCGCGAGCUGGUCCUGACCCCAGACUCUAAUGCCCCUCGGUCCCCAGCUUGGAGCUGCCCCCGGCGUCCCCGCAGCCAGGAGUCCCCGCCGAGCGUCCCAACUUUCCCGCGGGGCCCACCGUCACGCGCACUCUCCCGGCCCAGCGAACUGGGCAUCGAUCUCACGUCGGCAGAGCGCGGGCGGCGGGCGGGAGCAAGGGGAGUCCCGGACCUAGAGCCUGGGCACGCGAGGCGGCGGCGGCUCCGCAAGCGUUGCCGAAUUAUUCAUUAUUAAAGGAAUGGACGUGUCUCUUUUACUAAGUUUUUAUCUCCUUUGAGGAGGGCCGGUCUUGCCCUGGAUCUCAGCUUCUUGCAAAAUCUAGGUUAGAACCGUGCAGGGGCAGCCGCCGCGAUCACUCGCCCGCCACCCAGCACCCUUGCCCCAGGGCCGCCAGCGGGCAACUCGUCUCCUGCCCGCAUCCCACCUCCGCUCGCCAACCCGCGCCCUCUGCCCUGGGCGCGCAACCUGCCUUGCCCGGGGCCGCCCCUGCGCUCUCCGGACCCCCUCUCGCCGCUGUCAGCGCAAAGUGACUGUCGCUGCACUCACCUUUUCUAGGACAUGGUGGGGAGGCUGGGGCGGGGGAAGGGGAACGGCUAGACUCCCGCCGCCGCUGCUGCCGCCGCCACCAGCAAGUCCAAUAUUGGCUGAUCGGCGGUGAGGAUGGAGAGGAUGAUAAUCCCGGCAGUGGCAGUCGCCCUGCUGACGGUGGGUAGAGCAAUAGUGCUGUUACCCUACAAGAGGCGGCGAGGCAGCGGCGCCAAAUCGCGCAGAGGGGGACGCGGGCACCCGCCCGCCCCCAGCGGCGGCGGCCGGGCCUCUGGCGGGCCCCUCUCCCGGGGCUGCGCGUCCGCUCGGCGUUGACAGCGGCGUCCCUGGGAGCCGGGAAGUCCGGCAGGAGGAUCCCGCGCCCGCCGCUCCGCAGCGCCACUCUCCGCGCCCCCUCCCCGGGCCCUGGGUGGCCGGUGACAGCUCCGGCGGCCGAGCGCGUGUGUGAGGGGGCGGUCGCAGGGGGAGCCUGCGCCCCCCUCCCCGGGUCACGCCCUCACGAGCGGGAGGAGGCGGCACCGCGUCCGGCCACCCGCGGGUGGGAAACGGGCAGGGGCGCCGGCAGCCGCCCUCCCACUACGGCCACUGACAACCUGGAGGCCAAAGGAAAACUGAGCCCAAAUGCACGCAC
rnacentral:lncRNA from 1 species